rnacentral:rRNA from 1 species
GACGAACCGUGCGAACGUUGUUCGGAUUCACUGGGCUUAAAGGGCGCGUAGGCGGGUUGUCAAGUCAGGGGUGAAAGCCUCCAGCUCAACUGGAGAAGUGCCUUUGAUACUGAUGAUCUUGAGGGAGGUAGGGGCAUGUGGAACUUCCGGUGGAGCGGUGAAAUGCGUAGAUAUCGGAAGGAACGCCGGUGGCGAAGCGACGUGCUGGACCUCUUCUGACGCUGAGGCGCGAAAGCUAGGGGAGCGAACGGG